rnacentral:rRNA from 1 species
AGAGCGAACGCUGGCGGCAGGCUUAACACAUGCAAGUCGAGCGGAUGUAGCAAUACAUCAGCGGCAGACGGGAUAGUAACACGUGGGAACGCGCCCUUUGGUUCGGAAUAACUCAGGGAAACUUGAGCUAAUACCGGAUAAGCCCUUACGGGGAAAGAUUUAUCGCCAAAGGAACGGCCCGCGUCCGAUUAGCUAGUUGGUGAGGUAAUGGCUCACCAAGGCGACGAUCGGUAGCUGGUCUGAGAGGAUGACCAGCAUCACUGGGACUGAGACACGGCCCAGACUCCUACGGGAGGCAGCAGUGGGGAAUAUUGGACAAUGGGCGCAAGCCUGAUCCAGCCAUGCCGCGUGGAUGAUGAAGGCCUAGGGUGUAAAGUCUUUAACGGGAAGAUAAUGACGGUACCGUAGAAUAAGCCCGGCUAACUUCGCGCCAGCAGCCGC